rnacentral:rRNA from 1 species
AGAACGAACGCUGGCGGCGUGGAUAAGACAUGCAAGUCGAACGCGACUUAUUUUGUUAGCAAUAACAGAGUAAGUUGAGUGGCGAAAGGGUGCGUAACACGUGGGAAUUUACCAAGAAGUGGGGAAUAGCUCGACGAAAGUCGAAUUAAUACCGCAUGUGAUCGAAAGAUCAAAGUCGGGGACCGCAAGGCCUGACGCUUUUUGAGAAGCCCGCGGCCCAUCAGCUAGUUGGUGAGGUAAUGGCUCACCAAGGCUAUGACGGGUAGCUGGUCUGAGAGGACGACCAGCCACACUGGAACUGAGACACGGUCCAGACACCUACGGGUGGCAGCAGUCGAGAAUUUUUCACAAUGGACGAAAGUCUGAUGGAGCGACGCCGCGUGAGGAUGAAGGUUCUUGGAUUGUAAACUCCUGUCACUGCAGACAAGGAUACAUCAGUUAACAGCCGAUGUAUUUG